CAGUGACACACCUCCUCCGCCUCCCUGCGACCUCCUCCACCUCCCCUGCGACUCUGCGAGUAACGAACGGCGAGCAGCCGACGGGGACUCAUUGCUCAGUAUGCUGGAGCUGGAUUCCUUCUCUGGUUUCUGGUGUCCUGUGAAAUAUUCAUGUUUUGUGUAAUAAUCUUUCGUGUGGUUGUUUUCCAGGGGAAAAACUUAGAAGUUCGCUUCUGGGUAUUCAAUAGCUCUGCGCCCACCCUUCUGGUUCACUAAAGCCACAUUUCAAAGUUGACAGAUCUUGAAGUUUCUACUACAUUUAUCAGGUUUGUGUUGCUGCAUCCGAGACUGGAUUGUGGUUCAAUAUGGUGUGCGAGAGUGGUAAACAAACAAACCAACCGCUAGAAAAUAUGUGUUGUUUCCUCCGAAAGUGCAUUUUUUCAGUACUUUCUGUUGGUCCUAUUCCUAACCAUGUUGCAUUUAUAAUGGAUGGAAAUCGAAGAUAUGCUAAGAAGCAGACUUUGGAAGAGGGGAAUGGGCAUAGGGCUGGUUUUUCUGCUCUUAUGAAUAUGCUAAAAUAUUGUUUCGAGCUCGGUGUGAAGUACAUAACUGUUUAUGCCUUUAGUAUUGAUAACUUCAAAAGGCGCCCUGAAGAAGUUGGAUCCCUUAUGCACUUGAUGCAGGAAAAGAUUGAAGAGAUGAUUAAAGAGCAAAGCAUAGUGAACCGCUAUGGAAUCCGAGUUUAUUUUCAGGGGAACCUAAAACUUUUGAGUGACCCGGUUAGGUCAGCAGCAGAGAGGGCUAUGGCAGCAACCGCUGGUAACUCAAAUGCCACUCUAUCGAUCUGUGUUGCCUACACAUCAACGGAUGAGAUUGUACAUGCUGUUGAGCAAUCAUGUGAAGAAAAAUGGAAGGAAAUCAGCAAAAGAAAUCAAAAUUCUGCUCAAAAUGAUAUAACAGAACGUUUGAAUGGAAAUGAUAAGAUUGAGAAUCUUAUUGGCUCAACAGAUAUUGAUAGACAUAUGUAUAUGGCUGUUGUUCCCGAUCCUGAUAUCAUAAUACGUACCUCUGGAGAAACUCGGUUAAGCAAUUUCCUACUAUGGCAGAGUGCAAAGUGUCUUCUUUACUCUCCCACCGCCCUUUGGCCAGAAAUCGGUUUCAGGCAUUUGGUUUGGGCAAUUUUGGAUUUCCAAAGGAACUACUCCUACCUUAAGGGGAAAGAGAAGGAAACUUAACGGUUUUUAGGCAGGGUAAGUUCAUUCAGGGGUCAUCGUCAUUGUAGAAUGAGAUUUCCUCUACAAAGAUGCAAGUACGGGUUGGGAUUUGUUUUUGGUGAUCUCGCCUUGGGUUAACACGAUGACGAUAGAUACAUUCACACAGAACUGGAUCAUUCUGUAUUUCUGUUUAUCUGCCUCGUGGCCUCCGAACUCCAUCUUCCAUGGUUUGGUUCUACUUCUGGAGCUGGAGAUAUUUCAUCAGAUUUUAUGUGAGUAUUUUUGUAUGUUAAAAGUAAUCAAUGCUCUUUUUUGAAUUGACUUGACCUGUAAACUAUAUUUAGGAAAAAAAA